CAUGAGAAAACCUCCAUCUGGGGAACCGCCCAGCCCAGCCCUGACUCCACCAUGGACCCCAGGCUCCUCUGCUGGGUGACCCUCUGUCUCCUGGGGGAAGGUCAUGCAGGACCCGGAGUCUCCCAGUUCCCCAGGCACAGGGUCACAAAGAGGGGCCAAAAUAUAACUCUCAGUUGUGAUCCCAUUUCUGGUCAUAUUAGCCUUUAUUGGUACCGACAGACCAUGGGGAAAGGCCUGGAAUUUUUGGUUUACUUCAAUAACAAGGAUGCAUUGGACAAAUCAGGGAUGACCAAUGAUCGGUUCUCGGCCAAGAGGUCUGAGGGGACCAACUCCACUCUGCAGAUCCAGCGUGCAGAGCAGGGGGACUCGGCUGUGUACCUCUGUGCCAGCAGUCCCACCACAGUGGGGCACCAUCACCUCCUUGCUCUUCACAAACCUCGUGUGCUCACUUCUCCUAGCUCACAGGAUCUCUGA